rnacentral:rRNA from 1 species
CCUACGGGAGGCAGCAGUGGGGAAUCUUGCGCAAUGGGCGAAAGCCUGACGCAGCAACGCCGCGUGCGGGAAGAAGGCUUUCGGGCUGUAAACCGCUUUCAGCAGGAACGAAAAUGACGGUACCUGCAGAAGAAGGAGCGGCCAACUAUGUGCCAGCAGCCGCGGUGAUACAUAGGCUUCAAGCGUUGUCCGGAUUUAUUGGGCGUAAAGAGUUCGUAGGCGGUCGAGUAAGUCGGGUGUGAAAAUUCUGGGCUCAACCCAGAGACGCCACCCGAUACUGCUUGACUUGAGUUCGAUAGGGGAGUGGGGAAUUCCUAGUGUAGCGGUGAAAUGCGCAGAUAUUAGGAGGAACACCGGUGGCGAAGGCGCCACUCUGGAUCGAUACUGACGCUGAGGAACGAAAGCAUGGGUAGCAAACAGGAUUAGAUACCCUGGUAGUCCAUGCCGUAAACGGUGGGCACUAGGUGUGGGUUUCUAUUAACGAAAUCCGCGCCGUCGCUAACGCAUUAAGUGCCCCGCCUGGGGAGUACGGUCGCAAGCUAAAACUUAAAGGAAUUGACGG